GCCAGCAUGGCGUAGUGGUUUGAGUGUUGGACUACAACUCUGGAGACAAGAGUUCGAUUCCCAGCUUGGUCA
rnacentral:tRNA from 1 species